GCAAACUUGGUCAUUUAGAGGAAGUAAAAGUCGUAACAAGGUUUCCGUAGGUGAACCUGCGGAAGGAUCAUUAUUGAAUAAUUUGCCUUGAUGGGUUGUCGCUGGCCUCUUGAGGCAUGUGCACGCCUGUCUUGACUCUAUUCAUCCACCUGUGCACUUAUUGUAGUUUCUUAUUCUCUGGAUGUGAAGACUGCCUUUCUAGGCUUUCUUCUGGUUAGCCUUGUGCUUUAUCAGAGACUGAGGGGCUAUGUUUCUUAUCAUAAACCAAGUAGUAUGUUUUCAGAAUGUAUUCAAUGGGCCAUUGUGCCUAUAUAAAUCUAUACAACUUUCAGCAACGGAUCUCUUGGCUCUCGCAUCGAUGAAGAACGCAGC
rnacentral:misc_RNA from 1 species